CUGGCAUUUCUAGAAGAUCAGGUGCUAAUUCACAAAUAAUUUGUCACAGAUGGGGAAAAAGUGGCAAUAAAAUUGUGUUUCUGCGUGGAGAGGUUUCAGCAGCAUCGUGAUAUUCCUCCAUCUACUAGAAGAACAAUCCAGCUGGCUGAUUCUACUUCCCACUGGGAUCUCAGCUUUAAUUGAGGUAUAACAAUAGAUUGAAUGUGCUCAUUUUGUACUGCUGUCAUUUAUUUCUGUCAAAACCAAUUCAAUUGAAUAUACUAUUAUUGAAUUUGUAGUUAAGGAAAGUGAAAAAGGUCUUAACGCUUUCACCCAAAUUUUAUGCAAGUGUUUAUUACUUACACUCAGUAAGCACAGUAUGGCCUUUUUGAUGAAUAUGCUACACGUCUUACUCAUUCUAAGUUGUUUUCUUGUGCAUCAGUGGGGCCAUAUCCUCAUACUUAUAUCUCCAAAAUAAAAGUUGGUACUCUUGGAUAACCAAUGGCCUUAUUAGUGGUGUUUAUGCAUUUGGAUUUCUGU